GGUCUAUUAGUUUGCAUCAUAUAUAAAUCUAUCUACCCCGCUCACAUUCGCAUCACAUGCAAAUAGCACAUCACAGGCAGUUAUAAUUGCAGCAAUAAAUAAAAGCUGAACUUUAAAUAGGUGAUGAUCAUGGAUUCUAAUUAGGUCAUAUUACAAGCACAUGCACGUCAAUCGAUCAACUGGUCUUCAACUCUUGAAUUGGUUCCAAGCCUCCUUGAUUCGAUCCUUGACCAACUCUUGAUCCAAUCACCAUCAACCGCUUAGAUCGCCGUUCA
rnacentral:lncRNA from 1 species